rnacentral:rRNA from 1 species
AGAUUCCUACGGGAGGCAGCAGUAGGGAAUCUUCCGCAAUGGACGAAAGUCUGACGGAGCAACGCCGCGUGAGUGAUGAAGGUUUUCGGAUCGUAAAGCUCUGUUGUUAGGGAAGAACAAGUACCGUUCGAAUAGGGCGGUACCUUGACGGUACCUAACCAGAAAGCCACGGCUAACUACGUGCCAGCAGCCGCGGUAAUACGUAGGUGGCAAGCGUUGUCCGGAAUUAUUGGGCGUAAAGGGCUCGCAGGCGGUUCCUUAAGUCUGAUGUGAAAGCCCCCGGCUCAACCGGGGAGGGUCAUUGGAAACUGGGGAACUUGAGUGCAGAAGAGGAGAGUGGAAUUCCACGUGUAGCGGUGAAAUGCGUAGAGAUGUGGAGGAACACCAGUGGCGAAGGCGACUCUCUGGUCUGUAACUGACGCUGAGGAGCGAAAGCGUGGGGAGCGAACAGGAUUAGAUACCCUGGUAGUCCACGCCGUAAACGAUGAGUGCUAAGUGUUAGGGGGUUUCCGCCCCUUAGUGCUGCAGCUAACGCAUUAAGCACUCCGCCUGGGGAGUACGGUCGCAAGACUGAAACUCAAAGGAAUUGACGGGGGCCCGCACAAGCGGUGGAGCAUGUGGUUUAAUUCGAAGCAACGCGAAGAACCUUACCAGGUCUUGACAUCCUCUGACAAUCCUAGAGAUAGGACGUCCCCUUCGGGGGCAGAGUGACAGGUGGUGCAUGGUUGUCGUCAGCUCGUGUCGUGAGAUGUUGGGUUAAGUCCCGCAACGAGCGCAACCCUUGAUCUUAGUUGCCAGCAUUCAGUUGGGCACUCUAAGGUGACUGCCGGUGACAAACCGGAGGAAGGUGGGGAUGACGUCAAAUCAUCAUGCCCCUUAUGA